AUGCGCAGCUCUGUGGGUCUGGGUGCAGAACAUAAACAAUGUUUGCCUUCGCAGGUGGGAGAGGACUCGCGGCACGCAGGGCCACCCGUCCUCCCCAGGCCGUCCAGUACAUUCAGCACUGUGAGCAGGCCGCAGUACCAGGACAUGGUGCCAGUGGCUUACAAUGACAAGAUUGUUGCAUUUCUGCGUCAACCCAAUAUCUUUGAAAUUCUGCAGGAGCGUCAGCCUGAUCUCACCAGAAAUCACUCACUCAGCUUGUUUGAAGAGGAGAUAAUGUCAUAUGUGCCUCCACACGCCUUACUGCACCCCAGCUACUGUCAGUCCCCACGCGGCUCUCCUGUGUCCUCACCCCAGAACUCACCAGGUACUCAGCGAGCCAACGCCCGGGCUCCGGCCCCUUACAAGCGAGACUUUGAAGCCAAACUAAGGAACUUCUACAGGAAGUUAGAGACUAAAGGAUACGGACAAGGCCCAGGGAAAUUAAAAUUAAUUAUCCGAAGAGAUCACUUGCUGGAAGAUGCUUUUAAUCAGAUCAUGGGCUACUCCAGAAAAGACCUGCAGAGGAAUAAGCUGUAUGUCACCUUCGUUGGGGAGGAAGGGUGAGUAGAACAGACAAGUGGCAGGGACGAAGGCUGCGGCCAUGGGCGGAUGUUUCUCCACAGCGCUGCGGUUGCCUGAAACAGGAAACCCUUCUGGCAGGAAGUGCUGUUCUCAUAAGCUUGAACAUGUUGGCUUUU
rnacentral:lncRNA from 1 species